CCUACGGGCGGCAGCAGUGAGGAAUAUUGGUCAAUGGGCGAGAGCCUGAACCAGCCAAGUCGCGUGAGGGAAGACGGUCCUAUGGAUUGUAAACCUCUUUUGUCGGGGAGCAAAAGACGCCACGUGUGGCGUUUCGAGAGUACCCGAAGAAAAAGCAUCGGCUAACUCCGUGCCAGCAGCCGCGGUAAUACGGAGGAUGCGAGCGUUAUCCGGAUUUGUUGGGUUUAAAGGGUGCGCAGGCGGCCUGUUAAUUCAGCGGUAAAAGGCCGGGGCUCAACCCCGGCGAGCCGUUGAAACUGGGGGGCUGGAGUUGGAGAGAAGUACGCGGAAUGCGCGGUGUAGCGGUGAAAUGCUUAGAUAUCGCGCAGAACCCCGAUUGCGAAGGCAGCGUACCGGCUCCACACUGACGCUGAGGCACGAAAGCGUGGGUAUCGAACAGGAUUAGAUACCCGUGUAGUC
rnacentral:rRNA from 1 species